UACGGGGGGGGCAAGCGUUGUCCGGAAUUACUGGGCGUAAAGGGCUCGUAGGCGGCCCUCUCAGUCGGAUGUGAAAUCCCCAGGCUUAACCUGGGAACGGCAUCCGAUACUGGAGGGCUUGAAUUCGGGAGAGGGAUGCAGAAUUCCAGGUGUAGCGGUGAAAUGCGUAGAUAUCUGGAGGAAUACCGGUGGCGAAGGCGGCAUCCUGGACCGAGAUUGACGCUGAGGAGCGAAAGCUAGGGGAGCAAACGGG
rnacentral:rRNA from 1 species